UACGGAGGGAGCUAGCGUUGUUCGGAAAUACUGGGCGUAAAGCGCACGUAGGCGGCGCAGCAAGUCAGGGGUGAAAUCCCGGGGCUCAACCUGGGAACUGCGUCUGAUACUGGACGGCUGGAGUUUGGGAGAGGGAUGUAGAAUUCCAGGUGUAGCGGUGAAAUGCGUAGAUAUCUGGAGGAAUACCGGUGGCGAAGGCGGCAUCCUGGACCAAUACUGACGCUGAGGCGCGAAAGCUAGGGGAGCAAACGGG
rnacentral:rRNA from 1 species